GGCAGUGUGGCACAGUGGUAAAGGAGCAGGGCUCAAAACCAAGAGGUUGCUGGUUCGAUUCCCCUCUGGGACA
rnacentral:tRNA from 1 species